ACCCUCUGACUAUCAAAAUCCUCCUCAUCUGUCCUCUGAAACCUUGCCUCCCUCGUCCUCUUUAGCCACUUUUUCACCAAAUAUUGCCUCUCCUCCCUUAACAUUUUCUUCAUCCGAGGGUUUUGUCUUCCCUUUCUCUUCACCUACAACCACAGAAAAAGCCACUUUAAAAAGAUCAAUCUCUAAUCCUGACCUCCAAAAAUUUCCCUCUUUCUUAAGCCAAUUAGCCUAUUUUUCAUCUAUGCCCCCUUUGAUACCCCCUCCCUCAACUAAUCCUAAAAUCCCAUCUAACCCUCCUAUUCCCACCUCCAACUCAUUCGAUAUUUUGGUUACUAAAGAUGCUCUUCAAUCUGAGGGGCAUCAAAACCUUUAACUAUGUAUAGUAAACUAUUUUUUUGGAAUGUCCGUGGCCUAAAUGACCCGGACAAGCAUCAGCCUUUUUGUGAUUGGCUAAGUAGCCAUCAGCCUAUUUUUGGUUCUCUUUUGGAAACCCAUAUCAAGGAUCCUAAUCUAAGUCACUUAAUGGGAAAACUCUGCAAUGGUUGGAAGUUUACCUCUAAUCAUGCGUCUGAUGAAGAUGGUAGAAUUGUGUUGAUCUGGAAGCCCUCUGUCUCAGUCCAGGUUAUACAUCAGUCCCGCCAAUCUUUAACCUGUGAAGUCAAGAUCCCAGGCUCACCAGUAUUUAUUUAUACUGCCAUUUAUGCUGCAAAUACAAGAAGUGAGCGCACUGACCUUUGGGUGGAUCUCAUGAACUUGCAUCAGUCCCUAGAUCUUCAUUCUGCCCCUUGGAUGGUGGGUGGAGACUUCAACCAGAUUGUACAUCCUGCUGAGCAUUCUGUUCUAGCAGUGAAUUCGCUGUCUCCACAAAUGAUUGAGCUACGAGACUGUUUAAUUCAACUGGAACUGUUCGACUUGAGAUACCAAGGUCCUACCUUCACUUGGAGCAAUCACCAACCUGAUGAUCCUAUUGCCAAAAAACUUGACCGUCUUCUCAUCAGUAGCCCUAUCCUCCACCUUUUUCCCCACUGCUCUACGUACUUCAUGCCUCCUCUUUUCUCUGACCACAGCCCAUGCCUUGUUGACUUAGCUUUCAAAAUACCCACCUCUGGAACCAAACCCUUCCGAUUCUAUAACUAUCUCACAAAACACCCUGACUUUCAUCAAGUGGUCUUGCAAGCGUGGACUGAAGCCGGAAGCCUAGUGACUAAUCUCUCCGACCUGUGCUGGAAGCAAAAACAAAUUAAAAGGGAGUUAAAAUGUUUAAACAGAGAAAAUUUUUCACAAAUUCAAAAGAGAGUGAGUGAAGCUAACUGUUUGUUACAAGCUGUGCAGGUACAGUCCCUCAACUCGCCUUCCACAUUGCUGUUUGAACAGGAGAAAGAACUGCUUCAGAAGUGGCAAUUUCUAAGGAUCAUAGAAGAAUGCUACUUUAGACAGAGAUCAAGAAUUAAUUGGUUGAAAGAAGGAGAUCAGAAUACGGCUUACUUUUAUAGAGUUGUCCAAGUAAGAUUGAACUACAACACAAUCAGAUCAUUCCAUCUUCCAUCGGGUGAGGUGAUCUUGGAUCCCCUGCAAAUGUCAUCUCAUGCCAUUCGCCAUUUUCAAUCUAUCCUUGGCCCCCUUUUGCUCCCCCCAACAACUCUACCUUCUCCUCCGACUUGGUUUCAGUCCCUCACUCUCUACAUGUGCUCGGAUCAGGAAGCUCAGACUAUGAUUCUUCUUCCCACGAGUGAAGAGAUCUCAAGAGUCCUACUGAGGCUAAACCCAAAUAAGGCCCCAGGGCCGGAUGGAUUAACCUCUGGUUUUUAUAAAGCAGCGUGGGAUAUUCUAGGAUCUGAGGUUGUUGCAUCUAUUAUCCAGUUCUUCACUUCAUCUUAUCUGCCAACUGCAGCUAAUUCCACGAUCCUCUCACUGGUACCAAAGCGGCCUGGCGCUUCUCUCAUCACUGAUUACAGGCCUAUCUCUUGCUUGAACACCAUUUAUAAAACUAUAUCCAGACUUCUUGUGAAGAGACUGAAGCCAAUUCUCUCUUCUCUCAUUGUCCCCAAUCAAACUGCCUUUGUCAAAGGAAGACUUCUGGUUGAGAAUACGGUCUUGGCUUCUGAGCUGAUAAAUGGAUAUCAUAAAAGAUCAGACACUCCCAGAAUUACAGUCAAAGUUGAUAUAGCAAAAGCAUUUGAUACUUUAUCAUGGGACUUUCUAUUCAACUGCUUAGAAGGGUUGGGUUUACCUGAGAAGUUUAUUGGAUGGCUGAGAGCGUGUGUCUGCACUACGAGUUUCUCUCUAGGCUACAAUGGAGCUGUACAUGGAUUCUUCAAGGGUAGAAGGGGACUGCGCCAAGGGGAUCCUCUAUCUCCCUAUCUGUUUGUCAUUGCCCUCAAUAACUUAUCGCUCAUGCUGAACCAAGCUGCUAGAGAAUUGAAGUUCAAAUAUCAUCUACGAUGUGAAUCAGCCAGAAUGACUCAUCUCUGUUUUGCUGACGAUCUCCUUAUCUUCUUGGAUGGCUCUUUCCAGUCUCUCCAAGCUGUUCUACAAGUACUUAAGGAAUUUGAGCUUCGUUCCGGUUUGGCAGUGAGUGUCCAGAAGUCCUCGUUCUUCUCAUCGGGAUUGUCAGACGCUGAACGUGAUCUUAUCCAAUUCACCACUGGCAUGCCGCAAGGAUCGCUCCCAGUUCGG
rnacentral:lncRNA from 1 species